rnacentral:rRNA from 1 species
CAAGAAAAAAAGUAGUUAUAUUCUUCAUAACUCAAAGAAUUUGGCGGUUAAUAAAAAUUAUUAGAGGAACCUGUAUUAUAAUUGAUAGUCCACGAUAGUCUAUACCUAUUUUUUACUUGCAUAUCUCUAUGGAAAAUAGAUUAUUUAUAAAAGAUAUUUUCUUUUAGUUUAAACAUAUAUUUUAGGUCAAGGUGCAGUUUUAAUUAGGUAAAUAUGGGUUACUUUUAUAUUAAAUUUAUAUUGAUCUUAAUGAUUAAUUAUUUUAGGAUUUAAAAGUAAUUUAAAUAAAUUAAUUUAUAUGAAUAUA